UACAGAGGUCUCAAGCGUUGUUCGGAUUCAUUGGGCGUAAAGGGUGCGUAGGCGGCGCGGUAAGUCAGGUGUGAAAUUUCGGAGCUCAACUCCGAAACUGCAUUUGAUACUGCGGUGCUUGAGGACUGGAGAGGAGACUGGAAUUUACGGUGUAGCAGUGAAAUGCGUAGAUAUCGUAAGGAAGACCAGUGGCGAAGGCGGGUCUCUGGACAGUUCCUGACACUGAGACACGAAGGCCAGGGGAGCAAACGGG
rnacentral:rRNA from 1 species